ensembl:lncRNA
AGCUGCCUGUUAGCUGUCUGUUAGCAGCCUGUUAGCUGCCUGUUAGCUGCCUGUUAGCAGGCUGAAGCCGCGCUGCUUCACAGAAACAUGAAGACGCGUUUAAAGACUGUCGGACCUUUCUGCUCUGUUCUCUGGCGACUAACGUAAUAAACUCAUUGCAGGUUCUGAAGCCAAGAAAAUAAUGUAUUGCAGAUUGUAGGAGGUUAAGGUCUCUUUUGUUGGGACAGUGGAAACAAUAAAGGAGCAUGAAGUGUCAAAAGCAUUGCAAGUAAACAGACAAAGACAACAAAGUGUUGCGUUUAGGUCCCUGGUCCUCAUGAAGUUGUUACGCCUUUGCCAAUUUGUUAAAUUGCCUUGCAAAUAAAUGCUUUGCUAUUUGUUAAAAUCCAAAUCCUUUCAUGUAAUGAUGUUUCACAUGUCAUUUAUAUUCGCUCACACAAACACUUCCACUCAGCAAAAAGAGUGUUGAAAUUUCAGGGUUAAACAUUUCCGAGUUGAUUUUCACUCCCAGAGUGUAAUUUUAACACAUUCUGAUUUAAAUGGUGUUCAGUGUUGGAGUUAUUUGGCAGAGUUGAUCAUGUCAGUGUUAACCCAACUCCGCAGAGACGUAAUUAAGCUCGGCCCACGCCUUUCACCUCUUCGGUUAGAGACAGAGAAGACAAGUCUGCGCCAUUUUCUACCUCUCAUGCAGUACCACACGUCAAAAUGCUGGUCCAGGUGAAGUACAGCCAACAGCAGAAGUAUGUAAAGUUGGACGACGAUGAAGGACUGUUUGACUUUCUGCAAUUCCAUGAAAAGGUCAUGGAGAGAUUUGCCCUGCCACCUGAUGCAAAUGUUAUAUACAAGGAUGCAACAGGGACAGAAGUUGAUGCAGAAAUAUUCAGCGACCUCGCUGGACAAGGCAAUGUGGUCCUGACAGUUUUCUCAGAUCAGGAAUUCUCUGAUUUCUCCUUGUCUUCUGAGACGUCUGACUCAAGCUUCAGCUCAAGUGCAUCAACUACAAUCCUAGAUGUUCCUAACAAGAGACAAAGAAUUGAGGAUACACGUGAUGCUGUGUCUGCUAAACAGUUGAUAGAAGCUGUGCUAAGAGGCAAGUCCGGAGGUGAAGAAGUACUACAGGAGUACCAAACAACAGAAACCCUAACAGAUGCUGCAAGAAGACAAAUGGUUAAUAUCCUGGUGGCUCACAUGAUUGACAAUCAUGGGCACUGCCCCACUAAAACAAUCAGAAGAUUAUGCACGUGGGAUAGUGAUGCUGUUCCCUUCCCUUAAGGAUCCAUACUCCAAGAAGGGCUAUGAACACUUCUAUGAUGCUGCAAGCAGCACGGGAUACAUUUCUUGGCGUCUGAAAACAGUCCAGAGGAAGAUUCGUCAAGGAUCUGCACAGCCACCAAAUAGCCCAAUUGACUUUUCUCCAGGAGGCCCAAAUUGCCAAAGGACUGUUAAUGUUGAAGGGCAGCUUGAUGGUGAUGCUUGCCAAGAGGCCAUGUCUUUGCUUAACCAUACAGCAGACAAUUCCCUGAUUUUCCAGAAGAUGAGUGAGACCUUUCAGCAUCGUCAGAAGCUUGUUAAUGACCCAGGCAGAAGUGUUGAUAUACUCUCCAGCUUCCCGAGAUUUCUGGAUACAAAAGGAUUGGUGGACCAAGACUUCACUCUCCUAUUUGACGAAGACACAUCCUCCAGGCUUCUUCAGAAAUGGGAUUUGUUCUUCAAGCCAAAUGUCAUUAAAGAGGCUAAGCGGCUCACCUCAACACCAGAGUUGCGUCGCUUGGUGCAGUCAGCAGAAAGUCCCCCAGGAAGUGAUCUUGAUGAGGCAACAACCUACGACCAAGAAAUGGCCUCCCUGUUGUUGCUGUUACAUCUCCUUCCACCACCUCCAGGGGGACUGAAGUCUCCAAAAAUGAGUGCAUGUGAUGCAGUUGAAAGACUUGUUGUCUUUCAUAAGUCAUGCUGCAGUUUGGAGGAGCAUCUCCGCAACCAGCAGGGUCGGCAGCCGUACCUCCUCGCUGUUGGGCGUCAGAAGAGCAAGAUUGACAGCUUCUACAUCACCAUGGAUAAGCGUCUCAUCCCAUGCAAGGCAAACCGCUCCCUCGGGGCAUGUGAUGAACUUUUCAAAGCACAUUUUGUGUUUAAUUUGUCUUACGAUGUGGCACUUGUGAAUUUUUAUACAUUCCUGCAGACAACAGUGUAUAAGAUUGAUGUGGGGAAAAUGAAGGAGUCACCCAGAGUUAAAGACUUGAGAGCAAGACUGCUUAACCAGCCAGUAGCAUUCUCACCCUGUGAGUAAGAAGCUAUAACAAUGCUGACCUGUUUCAUGUGUCAGAAAAAUUAUCCCAGCAGUCAGCAGUUGAUUUCACAUUUCAGAGUUGAACAUGGUUACUAUCCUGGACCCAAGUUCAAAUUGUUUUGUUCUCAGCAAGGCUGUAGGCAUCAGUUCCUAACAUAUGCAGGUUUUCGAAAGCACCUUAAUAGUGUUCAUAGCAUUUUUCAGCAAACUCAAACUUCAACUGUUGCAUGUUCAUCUAGUGAGUCAGUUGCAACUUCAUCUCAGGCACAUACUUUGGAGGACCAAUUUAUUCCACAAAAUCAAUGUAGUUCUUCCAGUAUUUCUUCUGAGGCCAAUGAUUCAGGACUUACUAAAGAUCCAACUAAAGAAAUGUGUGCAUCCAUCGUGGCCAAAUUACAGGGGAGUGGGAUAUCCAACAGUUUGGUAUUCUCAAUUGUAGGAGAUUUGGAAGAACUAACGAGUGAACUUCGCUCACAAGCAAAGCAUACAGCUAUUUCUGCUUUACCUAUAACUGACCCCAACAUAUCUGUGAUAAAUGAAUCUUUUGAAGAUUAUGAAAAUCCGUUUUCAAAUCUGAACACAGAAUGGAAACAAAAUAAAUACUUCCACCAAAAAUGGGGAGUUGUUGAGCCAGUAGAAAUAACACUGGGAGUGAGAUAUGACAACAGGCGAAAUCAGAAAUCCGGUACUUAUGAUCAAGUACCUGUGAAGGAUACUUUUAUCUAUGUGCCAAUUUUAGAAACAUUGAAGUUCAUGUGCAGAAAUCCAGACAUUUGUGUUUUGCUAAAGAAGGAGUGUAGAUCAGAGCCUGACACUUAUACUGACUUUUUUGAUGGAAGUUAUUUUAAAACCCACCCUUUGUUUACAGCUAAUAAACAUGCAUUGCAAAUUCAACUAUACUAUGACGAUUUUGAAACAGCCAAUCCCCUUGGCUCCAAAUGUGGAAUACACAAAAUUGGCUGUAUUUAUUUUGUUGUAAGAAAUUUGCCCCCAAAAUUUAAUUCGGUUUUGAUGAACAUUCAUUUGGUAUCACUUUUUCACACACAAGAUCUGCGCAAGUAUGGUUUUGAUGUUAUACUAGAACCGUUGAUAAAUGAUGUGAAAAAACUAGAAAGCCAAGGGCUAAGUCUUCCAUUUGUAGAUGAGCAGGUAUAUGGUACAAUCUGUCAGAUUACUGGAGAUAAUCUAGGGAUGCACACAAUUCUUGGUUUUAAUGAGUCAUUUAGUAGCCGUCAUUUCUGUUGCCUUUGUUUGAUUGAGAAGAAUGAUUGUCAAACGGUAUACAGUGAGGAUGAUCCUAAAGUGAUCCUUCGUGGAAAAGAUAUGUUUGAUAUGCAUUGCCAGUCUCUCCAGGAAAACCCACAAUUUAAGUCACUUUAUGGUUUGAAAAAAAGAUCUGCACUUAAUUCAUUGAAUUAUUUCCAUGUUUGCAAUAACUAUUCAUUUGAUAUCAUGCAUGAUCUUCUUGAGGGUGUGGUUCAGUAUGAGAUCAAAUUGCUUUUUGGAUAUCUCACACAACACUUUAUGGAUUUUUAGAACGAAAAAAUCGUCCUACAAAGAUUAUUUUGGAGUGCUGGCAAUGGCAUUGGUUUGAAUUCUAUUCAGACAUUGUGUCUUGUGAAAAACAUCCCACUGUUGUUUGGUGAAAUUAUUCCUGCAGGAAACAAAAACUGGAAUUUGUUACUGUUGUUACUUCAAAUAAUGAACAGUUGUUUCACCUUCUCUCACUCUAGGUAUGACUAUAUUUAAAGCAUUUGAUUGUUGACCACCACAAACUCUUUAAGCACUUGUAUCCACAUAGAAACUUGAUACCUAAGCAUCAUUUUAUGAUCCAUUACCCAUCUUCUAUAAGGAAAAUUGGCCCCUCAUUAUAUACGUGGUGUAUGAGGUUUGAGGCCAAACACAAGCUGUUUAAAGAUUCUUUAAAAAAUUUCAAAAACAUAACCAAAUCGCUUGCUAUAAAGCAUCAGAUGGCCAUUGCUUAUCACUGGGAAACCUUCACCCUCAAAAAUGAGUAUGGGCCCAUUAAAUCUUUUCUCUUCAGAGAUGAGAAUGUGGUCAACAAUGAAAUGCUUGAAACAAUCUUGUCAAAAGAUGUUUUCUCAACUAGUUGGGUUAAAGUUGAUGGUGUAGAGUAUAAAGCUGGACUAGUUAUUUGCAGUGCAAUGGAAGAAGACAUGCCAGUCUUUUGUCAAAUAAGUGAUGUACUUUUGGUUGAAGAUCACUUAUUUUUUUUGACAAACAAGCUAUUUACAGAGAAUUUUGAUGACCAUCAUCAUGCAUUCAGAGUAUUACGAAGUGCGGAAAGAUGUUUACUAAAAAUGUCUGAGCUUAAAUUUCAUAAACCGUUUGAUAUUCAAAGCUCAUACAAUGUUUCGGAUGAAAGUUUGUACAUUAUACCUUCAUUCACAAUGUUUUAAUUCAACUGACUGCAAGGGAGAAAAGGA